ACCUUUGUUGGAUUCAUCAAUAAAUCACGCAAUGAUGCCAGAGCCUGGUGGUUGGACUUUGAUGGGGUUCCAGUGUUGUAUGGAGACAUACGACCGGGUGCGUUAUUAAGGAUGGACACUUUUCUCAAGACACUCGCAAUGGUGCAAAACUUUUGACGAAUUUAAAAGAGGUUCACAUGCCAACUCCCGCAGAAUAUGAUGAACAUGGCGACCCUGCUUUUCUAAGCGUGAUCAUAACCAACCCAGUUUACUCUCUUCUGGAUUCCUGC